UACGGAGGAUCCAAGCGUUAUCCGGAUUUAUUGGGUUUAAAGGGUGCGUAGGCGGCCUAUUAAGUCAGGGGUGAAAGACGGUAGCUUAACUAUCGCAGUGCCUUUGAUACUGAUAGGCUUGAAUAUACUUGAGGUAGGCGGAAUGUGACAAGUAGCGGUGAAAUGCAUAGAUAUAUCACAGAACACCAAUUGCGAAGGCAGCUUACUAAAGUAUGAUUGACGCUGAGGCACGAAAGCGUGGGGAUCAAACAGG
rnacentral:rRNA from 1 species